rnacentral:rRNA from 1 species
GAUGAACGCUGGCGGCGUGCCUAAUACAUGCCAGUCGAGCGAACGCACGAGAAGCUUGCUCCUUUGAUGUUAGCGGCGGACGGGCGAGUAACGCGUGGAUCACCUACCUCUAUUUCUGGGAUAACUUCGGAAAGCCGGAGAUAAUACUAGAUCAUAUUUUCUACCGCUGGGUUCAAAAGUGAAUGACGGUUUUCCUGUUACAUUUAGAUGGUUCCGCGCUGCAUUAGCUAGUUGGUAAGGUAACGGCUCACCAAGGCAACGAUGCAUAGCCGACCUGAGAGGAUGAUCAGCCACACUGGAACUGAGACACGGUCCAGACUCCUACGGGAGGCAGCAGUGGGGAAUAUUGCGCAAUGGGCGAAAGCCUGACCGAGCAACACCGCGUGAGUGAAGAAGGUCUUCGGGUCGUAAAGCUCUUCUAUUAGGGAAGAACAUAUGUAUGAUUAACUGUGGAUAUUUUGACGGUACCUAAACAGAAAGCCACGGCUAACUUCGUG